rnacentral:rRNA from 1 species
UGGGGAAUUUUGGACAAUGGGCGAAAGCCUGAUCCAGCAAUGCCGCGUGUGUGAAGAAGGCCUUCGGGUUGUAAAGCACUUUUGUCCGGAAAGAAAUCCUCUGGGUUAAUACCUCGGGGGGAUGACGGUACCGGAAGAAUAAGCACCGGCUAACUACGUGCCAGCAGCCGCGGUAAUACGUAGGGUGCAAGCGUUAAUCGGAAUUACUGGGCGUAAAGCGUGCGCAGGCGGUUUUGUAAGACGGAUGUGAAAUCCCCGGGCUUAACCUGGGAACUGCAUUCGUGACUGCAAGGCUAGAGUAUGGCAGAGGGGGGUAGAAUUCCACGUGUAGCAGUGAAAUGCGUAGAGAUGUGGAGGAAUACCGAUGGCGAAGGCAGCCCCCUGGGCCAAUACUGACGCUCAUGCACGAAAGCGUGGGGAGCAAACAGGAUUAGAUACCCUGGUAGUCCACGCCCUAAACGAUGUCAACUAGUUGUUGGGGAUUCAUUUCCUUAGUAACGUAGCUAACGCGUGAAGUUGACCGCCUGGGGAGUACGGUCGCAAGAUUAAAACUCAAAGGAAUUGAC